rnacentral:rRNA from 1 species
ACAUGCAGUCGAACGAUGAACACUUCGGUGGGGAUUAGUGGCGAACGGGUGAGUAACACGUGGGCAAUCUGCCCUUCACUCUGGGACAAGCCCUGGAAACGGGGUCUAAUACCGGAUAAUACUUCCACUCGCAUGGGUGGGGGUUAAAAGCUCCGGCGGUGAAGGAUGAGCCCGCGGCCUAUCAGCUUGUUGGUGAGGUAAUGGCUCACCAAGGCGACGACGGGUAGCCGGCCUGAGAGGGCGACCGGCCACACUGGGACUGAGACACGGCCCAGACUCCUACGGGAGGCAGCAGUGGGGAAUAUUGCACAAUGGGCGAAAGCCUGAUGCAGCGACGCCGCGUGAGGGAUGACGGCCUUCGGGUUGUAAACCUCUUUCAGCAGGGAAGAAGCGAAAGUGACGGUACCUGCAGAAGAAGCGCCGGCUAACUACGUGCCAGCAGCCGCGGUAAUACGUAGGGCGCAAGCGUUGUCCGGAAUUAUUGGGCGUAAAGAGCUCGUAGGCGGUCUGUCGCGUCGGAUGUGAAAGCCCGGGGCUUAACCCCGGGUCUGCAUUCGAUACGGGCAGACUAGAGUGUGGUAGGGGAGAUCGGAAUUCCUGGUGUAGCGGUGAAAUGCGCAGAUAUCAGGAGGAACACCGGUGGCGAAGGCGGAUCUCUGGGCCAUUACUGACGCUGAGGAGCGAAAGCGUGGGGAGCGAACAGGAUUAGAUACCCUGGUAGUCCACGCCGUAAACGGUGGGAACUAGGUGUUGGCGACAUUCCACGUCGUCGGUGCCGCAGCUAACGCAUUAAGUUCCCCGCCUGGGGAGUACGGCCGCAAGGCUAAAACUCAAAGGAAUUGACGGGGGCCCGCACAAGCAGCGGAGCAUGUGGCUUAAUUCGACGCAACGCGAAGAACCUUACCAAGGCUUGACAUACACCGGAAACGUCUGGAGACAGGCGCCCCCUUGUGGUCGGUGUACAGGUGGUGCAUGGCUGUCGUCAGCUCGUGUCGUGAGAUGUUGGGUUAAGUCCCGCAACGAGCGCAACCCUUGUUCUGUGUUGCCAGCAUGCCCUUCGGGGUGAUGGGGACUCACAGGAGACUGCCGGGGUCAACUCGGAGGAAGGUGGGGACGACGUCAAGUCAUCAUGCCCCUUAUGUCUUGGGCUGCACACGUGCUACAAUGGCCGGUACAAAGAGCUGCGAAACCGUGAGGUGGAGCGAAUCUCAAAAAGCCGGUCUCAGUUCGGAUUGGGGUCUGCAACUCGACCCCAUGAAGUCGGAGUUGCUAGUAAUCGCAGAUCAGCAUG